GAGCAUUGCUCUCGGGUGACGAGUGGCGGACGGGUGAGUAAUGUCUGGGAAACUGCCCGAUGGAGCGGGAUAACUACUGGAAACGGUAGCUAAUACCGCAUAACGUCGCAAGACCAAAGUAGAGGACCUUCGGGCCUCACACCAUCGGAUGUGCCCAGAUGGGAUUAGCUAGUAGGUGGGGUAAUGGCUCAACUAGGCGACGAUCCCUAGCUGCGUCUGAGAGGAUGACCAGCCACACUGGAAUUGAGACACGGUCCAGAUCUCCUACGGGAGGCACGCAGUGGGAUAUAUUGCACAAUGGGCGCAAGCCUGAUGCAGCCAUGCCGCGUGUAUGAAGAAGGCCUUCGGGUUGUAAAGUACUUUCAGCGGGGAGGAAGGCGGUGGAGUUAAUAGCUUCACCGAUUGACGUUACCCGCAGAAGAAGCACCGGCUAACUCCGUGCCAGCAGCCGCGGUAAUACGGAGGGUGCAAGCGUUUAUCGGAAUUACUGGGCGUAAAGCGCACGCGGGCGGUCUGUCAAUGUCGGAUGUGAAAUCCCCGGGUCUUAACCUGGGAACUGCAUUCGAAACUGGCAGGCUAGAGUCUCUAGUAGAGGGGGGUAGAAUUCCAGGUGUAGCGGUGAAAUGCGUAGAGAUCGUGGAGGAAUACCGGUGGCGAAGGCGGCCCCCUGGACAAAGACUGACGCUCAGGUGCGAAAGCGUGGGGAGCAAACAGGAUUAGAUACCCUGGUAGUCCACGCGCUGUAAACGAUGUCGACUUGGAGGUUGUUCCCUCUGAGGAGUGGCUUCCGGAGCUAACGCGUUAAGUACGUACCGCCUGGGGAGUACGGCCGCAAGGUUAAAACUCAAAGUGAAUUGACGGGGGCCCGCACAAGCGGUGGAGCAUGUGGUUUAAUUCGAUGCAACGCGAAGAACCUUACCUACUCUUGACAUCCUAGAGACACAUCUCAGCAGAGAUGCUUUGUGUGCCUUCGGGAACUCGUAGAGACAGGUGCUGCAUGG
rnacentral:rRNA from 1 species